AGGAUGAACGCUAGCUACAGGCUUAACACAUGCAAGUCGAGGGGCAGCAUGGUCUUAGCUUGCUAAGGCCGAUGGCGACCGGCGCACGGGUGAGUAACACGUAUCCAACCUGCCGUCUACUCUUGGACAGCCUUCUGAAAGGAAGAUUAAUACAAGAUGGCAUCAUGAGUCCGCAUGUUCACAUGAUUAAAGGUAUUCCGGUAGACGAUGGGGAUGCGUUCCAUUAGAUAGUAGGCGGGGUAACGGCCCACCUAGUCUUCGAUGGAUAGGGGUUCUGAGAGGAAGGUCCCCCACAUUGGAACUGAGACACGGUCCAAACUCCUACGGGAGGCAGCAGUGAGGAAUAUUGGUCAAUGGGCGAGAGCCUGAACCAGCCAAGUAGCGUGAAGGAUGACUGCCCUAUGGGUUGUAAACUUCUUUUAUAAAGGAAUAAAGUCGGGUAUGGAUACCCGUUUGCAUGUACUUUAUGAAUAAGGAUCGGCUAACUCCGUGCCAGCAGCCGCGGUAAUACGGAGGAUCCGAGCGUUAUCCGGAUUUAUUGGGUUUAAAGGGAGCGUAGAUGGAUGUUUAAGUCAGUUGUGAAAGUUUGCGGCUCAACCGUAAAAUUGCAGUUGAUACUGGAUAUCUUGAGUGCAGUUGAGGCAGGCGGAAUUCGUGGUGUAGCGGUGAAAUGCUUAGAUAUCACGAAGAACUCCGAUUGCGAAGGCAGCCUGCUAAGCUGCAACUGACAUUGAGGCUCGAAAGUGUGGGUAUCAAACAGGAUUAGAUACCCUGGUAGUCCACACGGUAAACGAUGAAUACUCGCUGUUUGUGAUAUACUGCAAGCGGCCAAGCGAAAGCGUUAAGUAUUCCACCUGGGGAGUACGCCGGCAACGGUGAAACUCAAAGGAAUUGACGGGGGCCCGCACAAGCGGAGGAACAUGUGGUUUAAUUCGAUGAUACGCGAGGAACCUUACCCGGGCUUAAAUUGCAGAUGAAUUACGGUGAAAGCCGUAAGCCGCAAGGCAUCUGUGAAGGUGCUGCAUGGUUGUCGUCAGCUCGUGCCGUGAGGUGUCGGCUUAAGUGCCAUAACGAGCGCAACCCUUGUUGUCAGUUACUAACAGGUUCCGCUGAGGACUCUGACAAGACUGCCAUCGUAAGAUGUGAGGAAGGUGGGGAUGACGUCAAAUCAGCACAGCCCUUACGUCCGGGGCUACACACGUGUUACAAUGGGGGGUACAGAGGGCCGCUACCACGCGAGUGGAUGCCAAUCCCCAAAACCUCUCUCAGUUCGGACUGGAGUCUGCAACCCGACUCCACGAAGCUGGAUUCGCUAGUAAUCGCGCAUCAGCCACGGCGCGGUGAAUACGUUCCCGGGCCUUGUACACACCGCCCGUCAAGCCAUGGGAGCCGGGGGUACCUGAAGUGCGUAACCGCGAGGAGCGCCCUAGGGUA
rnacentral:rRNA from 1 species